CAGACCAACACACUUUAUUCCAUAGUCACAACAGUCAGGAUAACCGUGAGCCGAGUGGGGCAGAGCCGGAGCCGUUGCAUCCCCCGGGAUGGGCCGGGGCCGCCCCUCGGCUAAAAUCCUAUUUCUCCAAGACAACAGCUACAGGUUCCUUCACUACCACGAACACGACAAAGGUGACCCCGAGCGCUGGCGCCCGUGCGGAGGCUGCGCCGGGGCCCCGCCGGCUCCGGGAGCCCCCGGCCCGCUCGGCCGCCGCCGGGGCGGCUCCUUCCUGAGAGAGGUUUGGUUUAUUCUUAUUAGUCAUUUAUUAUUAUUAUUAUUGUUCAUUAUCAUCAUUAUUCGCUUUGUCUCUGGUGAUGGAUGUCGCACACGCUCGCACACGCAUGUGCCGGGCAGCACCGGGCAGCGGGGAGGGCGCAGCGGGAGGGGGCCGCACGCUGGGGGGGUCUCUAAGCACUACAACCACACGGCACAGACAAUCCACCACUGUCCACGACGGUUCUCCCCUGACAAAGACACCCAGCGAGGCUCGAGGAGGGGGUGAGGAGGGGGACGGGGAUGGGGACGAAGCGGAUGAUGUUGUGCUUGUGGCCGGGGCUGGGGGGGGGGGCCCCGGCUCUUGGCUCCGGUUCUGGCGCUGACCCAGAACCUGCUCCUGAGGAAACGUUUCGCCUGAUAGUCCGUGGAGGGAGCGCCCCGGCCCACGGGUGAUGCACGGCACGAAGGGACCCCAACGGGACCCCAGUGGGACCAGGAGAUGCAGCCCCGGCAAAGCACACGAGUGAUGCGAGACCCUCACUGCGGCCUCAGGCCCUGACGGUACUUGGGGGCUUUGGCUUCCCCAUGGAUGGGGAUGGAGGGCGGGAGGCUCUGGCGCGGGGCAGCCGCGUGCCCUGAGAAGGCACCGAGGUGCUGGUCGAGAUCUGUGCACAGUGGGGAGCCCCCACGGGCCCCCCAAACCCGGCUCAUGCACGGGAGGGGGCUCGGGGUGCUCCUGGAGCUGGGUGGGAAGGCAGAGCCCCCCCGGCUGCGGCAUCACGGCUGGCCCGGCGCUGAUUUGGCUUUUCCAUGUGGGGAGAUCUGGGUCCGGUGGGGAACGGCCCGGGAUGAGGGGGGGGAAGCAGGGAUGGGGACACGCUCUAUACGGGGAACACGUGUGUGAUGCGUGACACCCGCCUGGCACCGCAGGCUGGCGCCGCACCGGGGCUACGGGAACACGGCGCUAACGCAAUGCCGACACACACAGAGCUACCGCUACACACCGACACAUCUACCAUGCUGGGGGGGCUCCAGGGGACCCCGAGGCCGCCCGGGAUGGGGGACACGGAGCAUCCCUUGAAGGGACCUUUGCCAGGGCAUCAGGGCAGGUCCCUGCUCCGAGCUGCACUGGGGGGGGUGCCAGGACCCUGGAGGGGGGUGAUGCCCUUCCCAUGGUCAUGGCAGCCCCAUGGCAAUGGGCAGCUGUGGCUGGAGGAACCGCAGCCCCAGAACAGGGAUGCAGCACCCCCACUGCCCUGGUACCCCGGGAAGGGCCAGCGGGGCUCCUGCAUCCCCUCUGGAGGAUGCCUUGAGAAGACUCAAGGCAACGGGGGACCUCAGAGGCUGCUUCAAGCAGAGGACCCCACUGAGCCCACUGCAGCCCCUCCGGGUGCUGAUGGCCAUGGCCAUGUCCCCAGGGCUGGCACUUGGGGUGCCCGGGGUCCUCACCAGCCCCACACACACAGCAUGGCCCUACCCAAGCACAGCCCCUGCCCCACAGCCGCAGCCGGUGCUGCAGCCACAGCCACAGCCACGUGCUCCCCGGCAGCGGGAGGAGGCGGCUCGUUGCAGGAAGGAGCCAUUAGGAAAAGCAAAGACAAGCCCGGCUGGAGGAGCCACUGUGGAAGGGCUGCUCCUGCCGGGAAGCUGCUCGGCAGCACUCUGCCGGGAUGCUCCUGCUCCCAUGGUGCCAUGUGGAGGAAGCCCCAUGACGGAGCAUCACCCACGGCACCGGCUGCUGCUGCUCUGGGCCCCGUUUGGGUGGUUGCUUAAGGCAGAAUUCCAGCAGCAUUCUCUCUGCCACGCCAGCACCAUCGCCCACUGCAGCCGAGCACGGUGGGACCUGCUCCACCGGCCAAAGCGAGCCAGAGUGGAGCAUGUCCUGUGUGGGCACUGGCUCCAAGGCUAGAAUAGGGACUGGCUGCCGUGGGAAGGGCUGGUUCCAGCUGGAAUUCGGGGUGGCUCUGGGCACAGCCUCCUCCGCACAACCGCCCGGCGAGAGGAACAACACAACCUCCCGCACCACGUGCGCGUCACGUGCGCCCAACUUCGCUCUUCCCAAAGCGAGCGGCCGGGAGCGUGUGGCACAGGGAAAGCGCUGGUCCCGUGGGAUACGGAACCCCCACGGCCAGGGACACCCAGGGAAUGGGGUGUCGGGCAGGGAGGGCUCGGUGGGGCUCUGCCUCCCUCCAUCCAUCCCCAGGGGCUGCGUCAGGGAGGAGGAGGAAAUUGAAGCCGUGCUUGAAAUGCGGUCAAAACGCAGAAGGAAUCGGCCAUUCCCCAAGGGAUGGGGAGGAUGGGAUGGGCGCCGAGGGCCGCUGUGAGUGCUCCGGCUGCUGGAGAGCAGGAGGGAAUGGCUGGUGGGGAUGGGAGCAGCCAUGGGAAGGGGCCAGGCCCUGGCAAUAAAACCCCGAUGAGAUGUGAGCAGCCACACGUCCGAGCGCGGGGCAGACGGUCGGACGAGGAGCUGGUGUGUGCCGGGGGUGGGUGAGCGGGAGCUCUGCCUUCCAGCGCCUUCAAGGCAAAAUACCUGAUUCCUGCAUGUAAACAGCUGGUUUCGGUUCUUAUUUUAUAGAUAUGACCUGAUUGUGGGGGGAGUAAAACAAGAAACGGGGUGUUACCUGCAGAGCGCGGGACUCAGUAGGUAAAGACCAAGUCCGAGAUGCUGGACAUGAGCCAGUCCCCCGCUAUCAUCUCCGUCACCUCGGGCGUGCAAUAGUCCGGGAACUCGAAGUGCGAGGAGCCUCCCCGCGGGAAGAGGUCGUGGUCCUUGUCCAGGACGGACCAGUCCAGGGCAGCACCGGUGGCACCGGGGGGAGCCCGCCCCGGCACGACCCCCAGCGCCUCCUCCUCCGGCUCCUCAUCGGAGGAGCUGAAGGAGGAGGGAGGGGACGCGGCCGACAUGGGAGAGGGGGACCCGCUCUGCGGGGAGCUCCCCGGCGCGGGGCUGGGGGGCGCGGGGGGCUCCUGGGCGGCGGGUGCCGCGGGGCUGUCCUCGGCGGGCGCGUCGGGCGCGGGCUCCUGUGGCUCCACCGGCGGCUUGGUGGGCUGCCUGCGGCCGGUGGAGGCGCGGCCCAGCACCGAGGGCUUGAUCUUCACCGGGAGGCGCGGGCGGGACGCGCCGGUGCCCACUUUGCCCUUUUUCCGCGGGCGGUACUUGUAGUCGGGGUAGUCGGCCAUGUGCUUGAGGCGCAGGCGCUCGGCCUCCUUCACAAAGGGGAUCUUCUCGGAGUCGUGGAGGAGCUGCCAGCGCCGGCCGAGGCGCUUGGAGAUCUCGGCGUUGUGCAUGUCGGGCCACUGGUCCAUGAUCUUGCGGCGCUCGUGCUGGGACCACACCAUGAAGGCGUUCAUCGGCCGCUUGAUGUGCCCGCUCGGGGUCUUGCACCACGCCGGUUCGGCAUCGCGGGCGGGCAGCGGGGCACAGGGCUCCCGCCGAGCCUCCGCGCCCCGGCCCCGCGCCCCGCGCUGCUGCACCAUGCCGGGCCCCGGGACCCCCCCGCCGCCGCCUUCUCCUCCUCCUCCUCUUCCUCCCCGCCCGCCGCCGCCUCCCCGCCCGCCGCUACGCGCCGCGCCGCGCCGCCCCCAUUGUGCGGAGCGGGCGGCGGCGGCAGGGCGGGGCGCCGGGGGCCGCACCGGGGCCCGGGGGCUCACGGCGGAGGCGGCUCCGCCGGGGCGGCGGCUGCUGAGAUGCUCCGGUGGAGCCCCGGGCCGGGCCGGUGGUCUUUGGCUUUGGGGAUGCUCUGCAGCGGUGCGGUCCCGGGAUGCUCCGGGAUGCUUUGUACCGGUCCGGGGAUGCUCCGGGAUGUUCCGCGCCGCCCCAGGGAUGCUCCGCACCGGUUCGAGGAUGCUCCAGGAUGUUCCGCCCCGCCCCGGGGAUGCUCCGGGAUGUUCCGCGCCGCCCCGGGGAUGCUUCCCCGGUGAAGUCGGUGGAUGCUCCGAUCGGGGCCGCUGCGGCUGGUCCGAGCCACGGGGUGCGCGGGGGCGGUGCGGGCAGCCCGGGAGCCACACGCCCCCCGGUGCCGCUCUUAUAGCCGGCGCCGCUCCGC
ensembl:lncRNA